rnacentral:rRNA from 1 species
AACGAACGCUGGCGGCAUGCCUAACACAUGCAAGUCGAACGGUGUUCCCGCUUCGGCGGGGGCAUAGUGGCGCACGGGCGAGUAACGCGUGGGAACCUGCCCCGUGGUACGGCACAACUCCGGGAAACUGGAGCUAAUACCGAAUGUGUCUCCUGGGACAAAGAUUGCAUAGCCAUGGGAGGGGCGCUCGGAUGAUUAGGUAGUUGGCGUGGUAACGGCCCACCAAGCGCGCGAUCCUUAGCUGGUGUGGGAGGAUGAUCAGCUACAAGGGGACUGAGGCACGGCCCAGACUCCUACGAGAGGCAGCAGGGGGGAAUAUUGGACGAUGGGCGCAAGCCUAAUCCAGCAAUGCCGCGUGAGUGAUGAAGGCCUUCGGGUUGUAAAGCUCUUUCGCACGCGACGAUGAUGACGGUAGCGUGAGAAGAAGCCCCGGCUAACUUCGUGCCAGCCGCCGCCGUAA